rnacentral:rRNA from 1 species
UACGUAGGGCGCAAGCGUUAUCCGGAAUUAUUGGGCGUAAAGAGCUCGUAGGCGGUUUGUCGCGUCUGCCGUGAAAGUCCGGGGCUCAACUCCGGAUCUGCGGUGGGUACGGGCAGACUAGAGUGAUGUAGGGGAGACUGGAAUUCCUGGUGCAGCGGUGAAAUGCGCAGAUAUCAGGAGGAACACCGAUGGCGAAGGCAGGUCUCUGGGCCACUACUGACGCUGAGAAGCGAAAGCAUGGGGAGCGAACAGG